rnacentral:rRNA from 1 species
UACGUAGGGGGCUAGCGUUGUCCGGAGUCAUUGGGCGUAAAGAGCGUGUAGGCGGCCGUACAGGUCAGCUGUGAAAACUCGAGGCUCAACCUCGAGACGUCGGUUGAAACCGUACGGCUAGAGUCCGGAAGAGGAGAGUGGAAUUCCCGGUGUAGCGGUGAAAUGCGCAGAUAUCGGGAAGAACACCCGUGGCGAAGGCGGCUCUCUGGGACGGUACUGACGCUGAGACGCGAAAGCGUGGGGAGCGAACAGG